rnacentral:tRNA from 1 species
GGAGGUGUGGUGUAGUGGAUAGCAUCAGGGGUUACGAACCUCUGGACCUCGGUUCGACUCCGGGUACCUCUG